rnacentral:SRP_RNA from 1 species
GCCGGGUGCGGUGGCGCGUGCCUGUAAUCCAAGUUACCGGGAGGUGAGACUGGUGGAUCGUUUGAGCUCAGGAUCUCUGAGCUGCAGUGGACUAUGUCGAUCGGGUGUCCCAAUAAGUUCGGUAUCGAUAUGGUGCUCCUGGGGGAGGCCGGGACCACCAGGUCGUCUAAGGAGGGGUGCACCGGCCCAGGUCGGAAACGGAGCAGGCCAAAGCCCCCGUGCGCUCAGUAGUGGGAUCGCGCCUGUGAAUAGAGGCUGUAGUGAAGCCUGAGUAAUACAGCGGGACCCAGUCUUUU